rnacentral:lncRNA from 1 species
GGAAGGGAAGGUAACAAAAUGUGAUCCCUCCCUCUUACCUGGAGUGUGACGUAGGACUGAUCCUAAGCUUUUCCCAGGCCUUCAGGGAAUGAAAACUGAGAACUGUUCAAACAAGCACCAGGAAGAAACAUUGCUAAACUCUUCUCGGAUAAACUCAUUCGCUCAGAUACAGAGUGAGGAUCUGGUUCCUACAUGUACAAAAAUGAGCCAGAAGCUCAUCACUUUACCACUCUUGGCUGUUGCUCUGGGUCUAUUAUCUGCAAUCCCUCUGUUGGCAGAAGCUGUUACAUUUAUUGCUGAAGUUGCAACUUUGAACAGUGUAUCCACAACCCCCUCUGUACAGUUGAGCACCACCAUGGCCAGCACAACAGCAACAGAGAAAACAACAUCUCAAACAGAAGCAAUAACCAGUAAAGCACCCGAAUUUGCUUCAGAGACAACUCCUCUCAGAAAUGCAACUGGAUUCACAACAGAUUCCUCCAGUGGUGAUUCCACAUCUGUGUCGAAGAGCACCAUAUCUGAUCCUUCACCCACAGCCAUGUCAACAUCAACAGCCCAGGGGACUCAUGCAAUUACUACUGCAAUAAGUACAUCACAGUCCACCCACAAUCAGUCAGUAUCAACCCUGUUACCCAAUGUCACAGGGAGUAGUCCACUGAUCCCCACUUCAUUUUACUUCACUCUCACCACUCCCACUUUAGGUGAACAUUUUGGUCUCAGCUAUUCUGAAAAGGCUAUCACCAUUUUCCUCAGUAUUAUUCUUGGGGUGGCAGUUCUCGUGUUAUUCAUGUACAGCCUUAACAAAUGCAAGAAGAAGAAGACUCAGUAUGUACACCGACCCCUCUACAACAACCAUGAUGACACAGUGAACAGGUACAGGACACCAGAAGACACCCUUGUGAUUUCAGGAGGACUAUAUGAUGGUCCUCAAAUCUACAACCCUAACAUGACAGUUUUGGAUGAGGAUGAUGAAUUCCAUUCAGAAAAUCCUGCUUUUACCAACCAACCUCCACAAUUCCGUCUGGAAUUCUUGUCUGAAGAACAAGAAAGGUCUCCUGACUUGGGAGUUAAUACCUUUGAAACCUUUAAUGCUCCAACUGAGGAAACAUAAUGCUUUCCAACCUU